CUUGGCGAAAACUGAGGCUUGAGGUUAGAUCUCGGGAUGAACUUUUCAAGAGUCCACAGUAGAUUCCAGAGCUGAAUGUUUCAGAAGCCCAGUGAAGUGUGAUCACCUCUUUCUCCGUAAAUCCACACCCCCAGCCCCACGCCGCGUUACGAAUGACACCCUUCGUUAUAAUUAUUCAAUAUGUUCCCACUGACUGAGGAAAACAAGCAUGUGGCCCAGUUGUUGCUCAAUACUGGUACUUGUCCAAGAUGUAUCUUCAGAUUCUGUGGUGUGGAUUUUCAUGCACCUUACAAACUUCCAUACAAGAUGAAGAAACUGAGAUACAGAGAGGUUAAGCAACCUGCCCAAAGUUACACAGCUAUUAAGUGAGCAAGCUAGGAUUUGAACAGUCUGACUGAAUUCAAAACCUAGGAUUUGGAACUAGAAGACAUGGAUUUGAAUCCCAGUUCCACCACUUUCCAGCUUCAGUUUACUCCUCUGUAAAUGGGAAUGAUGAUAAUACCCACCUCACAGGACUUUAAGGGACAAUACCUAAUAAAGUACGUGGAAACACUUUGAAAACCAGAAAUUGGCUGGGUGCGGUGGCUCACGCCUGUAAUCCUAGCACUUUGGGAGGCCGAGGCGGGUGGAUCACGAGGUCAGGGGUUCAAGACCAGCCUGGCCAAGAUGAUGAAACCCUGUCUCUACUAAAAAUACAAAUAUUAGCUGGGCGCCAUGGCAGGUGCCUGUGAUCCCAGCUACUUGGGAGGCUGAGGCAGGAGAAUUGCUUGAACCCAGGGGUGGGGGGUGCGGAGGUUGCAGUGAGCCGAGAUCAUGCCACUGCACUCUAGCCUGGGCAACAGUGUGAGACUCCGUCUGAAAAUUAAAAAAACAAAAACAAAAAACCAGAAAUGGUACUUGUGCUAUGAUGAUUUAAAUAUGUGUAUAUUCAUUUAUACACAAUAUGACUGUAAAGUAAUAAGACUGGUUUUGUGUAACCCUGCUUACACAUUUUUUUCAGACACACUGUAACCUAUUAUCUAUUAUAUGUUAUUAGGUUUUAAAUUUAUAUUAUAUUAAGAGACUGAGUGUUAUCAACUUUCGUUUGUUUCAUUUUAUGUAAGGCAAUAUACAAGAAUAUUUGGACAGCUUUUUGGAAAUGUUCAUAAAUUUUGAUCUGUUCUAUUCAUGUAACUAUGUAUGUACAUGCACAUCUGUAUAUGCACUAUGUUAUAUCUAUAUUAUAGAUCUUAGGUAACAACAAACAUAUUUGUGUGAGUCAAAAUGUA
rnacentral:lncRNA from 10 species